CGAAAAGGAAGAAGAACCGAAGCCCACACGCAAACGAGCGCUGAAAAAGCCGGCCAAGAAAUCGAGGUUGCGCAAGGCAUCAUCUAAAAAUUCCGAAAAGCACGAAGUGACCCUGGAUGCGAGCCCGUUGCCGAACAAGGACCGAUGAUGGGGAGUGGACGGCAGGUUGUUUCCUCCCACGUCACCUCACGAACAGUACAAGGGGGAUGAAUGGGCCUGCA